AUCAACACUUCACAGUGUUCUCAGUUUCUAAUGAGAAUGAGAUCACAGGUAAUGUUCAUUUAAGACCUUCAAAAACACUCCACUUCACAUAACUGUUUUAUGAACCAGUGCUCACUUUGUGGAAGCACCUCACUAUGUUCAAGCACCCACCUGGGGAGCGCUUGUUCAUUACCUUUGGCGAUACUUAAACAUAAUGCCGGUAUUACUUUGGCUAAUACCUUCAUUUUAAGCAUUUUUGUGACUUGGACCGGUUUAGUGCAUUUUUCUAUCGGUGAUUUUAAACAUUUGAACGACAAAGAGGAACUGCAGUGAACUAAAGCAAGAAAAGAGGUUCAAUUUUCCUCAUUUCUAACUUAUAUAAACUAUAAGACACACACGCAGUCUUUAGGAGUGUGGGAAAAUGCUGAAAAAGACAGUCCCUUAAUGGAGCAAUAAACCCUGGUUAUAUUUAACACACAAAUCUGAGGUUAUUCUGAAGUGUCUGCGGUGAGUUUCAGCUCUUUGUUUUGGUUAUGACACCCUCAGAUUUAGAUUCGCUUCUACAGAUCUCACCUGUUUCCAGCUGUAGUUCAGAGUCUCUCUAAAAAAAACACCAGAAAUAUUCAGGCGAACUAAACAGAGGCCAACAUGAAUGAACAGUUUAUGGCAGGACCGUCCAGGAUGAGAUUGUUUUAGUUUUUGUUCUCCUUUUUUCCAGUCCUGUUCUUGUUAUUUUUCUUCUUGUUCUUGUUCCUGGAGUUUUUUUUUCUUUUUUUCUUUUUCUUGUUUUUGCGCUCAGUUCUAGUUCUCUUCUUUUCCUACAUAUGUUUGUGUUUCUAUUCCUGUAUUUGUUCUUGCUUUUUUUCUGUGUCUUACUAUUGUUCUAGUUCCUAUUCUUGAUUUUGUUCUUGUUUUAGUUUUUCGCAUUGUUCCUAUUCUUGUUAUAGUUUUUGUCCAGUUGUUUUUCUUGUUUUCGUUCCUGUUCCUGUCCUUGUUUUAAGUCUUCUUUCUUGACUUGUUCAUCUUCUUGUUUGCAUCCUUGUUCUUGUUUUUAUUUUUUAUAAUGUUCCUAUUUUUGUUUCUGUUCUUGUUUUUGAUCUGGUUUUUGUUUUUGUCCCUUUUUUCUCUCUGUUCUUGUUUUUGCCCUUUUCUUGGUUUUGUUCUCAUUUCUUUUGUUGCUCCUCUUGGUCCUGUUCUUGUUAAAGAUUUGCUUUAGCUCUGUUUUGUUUGUGUUCCUGUUUCUUUUUCUGUUCCAAACCUUUAUCAUUCUUUAUUAUAUUGCUUUAUUUUUCCCUCCUGCUCUCAUUCCUUUUCUUUGUCCUUUAGUUUUUUUGUAACUCUUCUUUCAAACUUGUUAUUCUUUCUUUGGUUCUCUAUAUUUGGUCUUUCCUUAAUUGUUCUGAUUCUCAUUUUUCUCAUUUAGUUAAUCAUUUUUCCUUGUUUUUCUUUUUCCUCUUAUUUUUGGUCUUCCGGUUCUUCUUAUUCUUGUUCUUUCUUUGUAGUUUAUUUGUUUAUUUUCCUCCAUGUUCUUGUACUUGUUCUUUUUUUUGCCUUCUUUGAAAUUUUUUCUUGUUCUCUACUUUAAAAAAUUUCUCCUGAGCUGUAUUUUUAGACCUUUUUAGACUUUGUAGGAUAUGACAACCAAGAAGAGACAGAAAAAAGGGCAGUAGAGAUGCUGGGGAGACGAAACAAAGUGCCAUGGCUGGGAAUUGAACCACUGUCAUCUCCAAAAAGGGCUACAGCCUUUCUAUACGGGGCACGUUUAGACCACAGGGCCAUCAACACCCUAGUUUUUUUAUUUUUUCCUUUUCUUUGGUUCUUGUUCUUGUUUGUUUUAGUUUUUUCUUUCUUUUUGAGCUGUCUUGGGAAUCUUUGAAAAACUCAUUAUUUUAACAAUGAACAAAAGACAAUCUCAGUCAGGAGGAAAUCCUCACACACAAAUUUAUGAUAACAAAAACAGCUUUCUUGUUUACUAAUGUUGUCAAAUAGAAUUAGUAUUAUGAAAUAUCGCUGUUACCUCCAACAUCAAUCCUGUAAACCUACGAAAACUGUGCCGUUCCCUAAAUCAAACACGGAAAACCAUCUUCCACAAAACAAAACAGCUUCAGUCCUCGGCUCUCUACAAAUUUUGAGUUAAAUAUGAACUAUAACUAAUGUGUAAGUAAUGUACGUAAGUGUUGGAUAAAUUGCAGAGAAGAAAAGGAGAAUAAGUACUAAGAGGUAGAGAGUAAAGAGGAGGGUGUGUUUGAGUAUUUGUGAAAGAGGGAGAGAUGGACGGACAUGAAACAGACAGAAAUAAAGAGAGAGAGGGAGGAUAUUGCUGGAUAGCGUGAAGACAAUAAUGCAAACUGACACUUUUGAAAUGAGAUGCCGGUUACCUUGGCAACAGGCCCUGGGCAAGGGGCUACCGGGAUGGGGUGAGGACCAGUGAGGGUGAGCGAGUGCAGGCGAGAGGGGCUGCAGAGAGUGCUGAGAUAGCGAGUAAAUGAUGUUUGAUUAGAAGCGCAAUGAUUUAAAAGCGAGCAGAGGGAGGCGCGUGUGUUUACAUGUUCAGCAGCCAGAGGAGGACAGGAGUGUCUGCGGAUACGAGGACGGAGACAUAUGAAGAUGUAGAACUCCACAGGAAGCAGGUCGGCACUCAGACGAGCCUCUGAAGGGUUCGCAGUGCAGAUGUUUACCUGGGGAAGCUCUACAGCUCCACUCAGGUCACAGAAACAAACAGCAUGAGCUUUAAUGUGGUACACAGUGUUGGAGACAUCACUGUAAUAUAGGUUAUUUAAAAAUAACAGUAGAGCAAGACGCCAGGUGAGUUAUGUCACCUAAACAUACAGGAUAGCAAUACUUCACAAAAACAGGUGAUUGUUAUGGUGGCUUUUUAUUGAAGCACUGUACGCUAGAUCUUCUCUGCAACAAUGAAACAAAUAACUUGUCUCAACAUGCAAACUCCAGAGCAUUCCUCAGAGGGAUCCCUAGUUACUGCGACAGCUUUUACACUUUUCAAGAGUUCAACUUUGUUUACUUUCUCUUUUUCAAACAAGCCUUGAAUUUGGGCAGGGUGAUAAACCAAAAAUUUACAAAUACAAAUGUAUGACAAUAACCAACAUCAUUUUGCCCAUGUCAAUAUAUUCAGUGUAAAAAAAAAAUCAAUAAAUAGAAGUAGGUUUUGGAUGUGUGUAGGUAGGCUAUGGUCUCAUGUCCCUUUAAGACAUUAUCCUACAUCAGAGACGUGACCUGACUGCGUAUGUGUGCCUUAUGUCAAUGUGGCGCAUUUCCGCCGUUAGUAACAAGACGUAAACAUGGUGUCUUACACAACUACUUUGAUGGAUACAGUCUUUUCGUGCUUUCAUGCUUGAUGAUCAUGUAUAGGGCUGGGUGAUAUGGCCUUAAAUCAAUAUCACGAUAUAUUGAGCAGUUCACCUCGAUAACAAUAAAUGGACGAUAACUACUCCACAAGCUGCUCACCCCCUCCCACAUUAACUUCAUCUACUUCAGCCGCUACAACUUUUGAACCGUCCUCCCUCUCCUCACCUGUCUUUCCCUCUGUGUUACGAACUGGAUGGGGUGAAGUCAUGUCUCUGAUGUAGGACAGCGUCUUAAAGGGACAUGAGACCAUAGCUUACCUACACACAUCCAAAACCAACUUUGAUUUAUUUAUUUAUUUAUUUAUUUUGACACCAAAUAUACCGAUAUGGGCAAAAUGACAUUGGUUAUAGUCGUAAAUGUCGGUAUCUGUAAAUUUUCGGUUUAUUGCCCAGCCCUACUCAUGUCUGCUAGGAGCAAUAUAACCCCUCUCAGAACCUGGCUCGGGUCUAUUCUGAGUGGAGGGAAAAAUCCUGAAUCGGAUGAAGUGAGCCACUAUAGCGUUUGUUGGUUUGUUGACAGCACAGUCGUAAAUACAACUCUUCUUCUUCUGUGGUUGUUUAAGUGAAUCAGACAACUCUGCGCAUGUCCAAUUGCUUCUAAUCUGAUCAAAACUUCACGUUACGAUCGGAUUAUUUGGUUUUGUGCCCAUAUAAACUGUGGAUUUGGAUGAUUGAAAGAAAUUUUGCACGUGUCACUUGUAUCUUUGAUCAUCUGCGGCUAAAUAACCAUUGACUAUUCAGAUCUAAGUUUUAACUGGAUUCAUGGGACAGAGGACAAUUUUCUUAAAUCCUGUUUUCUUUGUGUUCACGUUGGUUGAAGUAAAUGCAGAUGAAGAAAAAGUGCUGAACUUAUGUUCAAUUAUGCAAAUGUAUCCUGUAACUCUUGAGCUCACAGUGUUAUUACAGUUGGGUCCUUUCCACCUUUUAAAGAUUAAUUUGAUUUUAACCCAGCGCUAAUACUCACAGCAGACUUUUAUGAAACAAACACUGAUCAAACAGGGACAUUAUCUCUUGGACUGAAUGGUGAAAUUGUUGUGAGGCCUCAGAUUCAUUUCCACCUGUCAGCCACCAGCGAGGCUGUUACACAAUGUUAGAUCGCUUCAUUUAAUACAUCCACACAAUGCUGCACAUGUGACAUGUAGAACGACUCCAGACAUUUUUAAUUCAGACAUUAUGGGCUACUUUUGAAGCACCACAAUGAGGCAAGUUGUCACCGUUUUUCAGCUUUAUGCGGCACAAGUCGACUGAAACGAGCGGCAAGUCGCUUAUUUUCUAAUCUCGAGGAGAAAUAGAGCUGCCAUGUUUACUGCCUUUAUGCAAAAUAAGGAUUUACAGGCAAGAGCUUUUCUGUUUUUGUAUUAAAAAUAAAGUUAAUUCAAGAUAUCAAAUGAAGCUUUUACAGGAAAGGAUACUGUGAUUUAUUAAAGACACAAACAUGUGACCUGCAGAUGUAGUUUUGGCAUCAAAUAGCAGGUUCAAGCCCCGUAAGAGAGAGUGAAACCUCAUACAGAUAAAAGUUUAAAGGAAGUUUAUCAAAAAUAAAAAAACCCAAAUAAAAAAAAUCCCGUAAAUAGAUCUACAUCUUUUAAAAAAGCCAGGUAAAAAGGCAGGGAUCAGAAAACACUGAGGCUUCAAUCUUUUCAAUAUUAAUUGGUGUUUUCAUGUAAGUUGAAAAGUCAGAGCAGGACUUUAUCAGCGGAAAAAGCCAAAACUAUAACCACUGAAACCUGCACACAACCUUUCUCUAAACCCGUCUGACACCAGCAGGAAUACCAGUGAAUAUUUUAAAUAAAAAAUGGGUCAUGGCUGCAUGAUUCAAACACCAAAUAACCUCACUUUGUAUUCAAACUCAGACUCAAAGAUUUCAAAGAAAAAAAAAAAAAAACAAGUGGAGCAAAAUUACACAAAAAUCUGUACGGUGUUAUUCAAAAGAAUUUUUUUUUUUCUGUUUUAGAUGAUUUAAUAUCAAUUUGGAUAUUUUGUACGGAGUUUCUCAUAAAAAGGGGAUGGGUGCAAAAAAACAAAAGGGGCUUUGAUAAAUUAAAAAAGGUUUUAAUACAAUCACCUUAAUCUUUUAUUUCAUAUUAUAACAAAACAGCAACAGCAGCGGAUAAGAAAAGUGCAGAAGAGGUGCAAAACCCAAAAGGGAAAAAGAUUUAAAAAGUGCAUAUAAACAAAGAAGACUAGUAAUAAAAAAGACAGAAUAAACAUCAGUCAGAGCAAAAAACACACAUUUUUAAAAAUAUUAUAAACAAACUACACAAGCAUAAAAUCUGCUGUAAAUGACCAAGUUCAGGCUGAUCUGGUUAGUGAUUCCAACGUUUUGGACCUCGAUAACAAACAGUAAAUUGUCCUUGUUACAGAAACUAUCAGGUCACAGAUGCAUUCUUGAUGAAACACAAAAACAAAAUUUUAUAAAAAUAUGAAGCAUUUAAAGAUCUUUGAACCUGUGUCUCAGAAAAUGUCGCUGUUUCUGUCGGGUGAAAAGAUGUUUGAGGUUUGAAAAGAAAGAAUACAUCAAAGUGCAACAAACAGAAAGUAAAUAUUUCUCUGUAAAACUUGACUGAUUCAUCAGUGAAACAGACACUUCAGUAAUUCAGCUAAAACAUGAUUAGAUGCAGAGCCAUCUUUUUCAAUGGUUACUCUAUAUCUGCUCUUGGGUUCAAAUAGCAUCUAUUGUGUGUUGAGAAAUAAUCUACAGUUGUGAAAGCAUUCGUAAAAUGAGCUAAGUGUAGCAUUAAUUUUGUUCAUGAAAUUCUGACUAUUUUUGUCAGACAGGAAAACACAAGUAUCAUCAGCAAAGAGGAUACAAAACAUGUCUUAAUACGAAGGAGCAAGGGACCAAGGACAGAUCCUUGGCGUUCUCCGCAUAUGAGAUAAACUCACCACAAUGUUCCUGUCCUUUACUUUGGGGGGUAAAAUAAUGUUUUAUAGUAUUUUAAUGAAAGAAAGCUCACGCCUGAAUUGUCAUCAGUCAUUAUGAGUCUUUACGGCUUUAAAUAUUCUGUCUCUCUGGAUGCUAACUGUGCCGAUAUUAGGUGUUAUCAUGCCUUUUACUUACUGUAAAAUCCACUCACUCUGGAAGGCCGUCAACUUUCUGGUGUGAAACUCUGUGUUUCAGAAACACCCUGAAGCUUUUUUUUAUCUAACAGAUAAUAUCAGAGUGUUUCCGGAUAAUAUUCAGAUCCAGGUCUUUAAAAAACAAAAGUGAUCUGUGAUGAUUUAUGUGUUAAUGUUGAUGAUACAGUGUUAUUUUUGUUAUAGCAGACUGUGCUAGACGGGGGCUGCCAUGUUUGUUUUGGUUAAAACUGAGUCUGCUGAGUCAGCUGGUCUGCUAUCAGCUGACCUGUCAAGGUCACGGUCUUCUCUCAGUAUAGAAAUACAAAAAAUAGAACUGUUUUGAAUGGAUUCAUCCUAUUCAGCUCAUUCUUGUAUGUAUGUCUGUUUACUACUACUCAGAGGCUUCAUUCACAGAAGUAAUUAUUUAUUAUUUCAUCUCUAAAUGAGAAUCUCAUUUAGAGAUCGAGAUAUUAUUAACUUAACUGAAUUUAUUUAGAUUAUGUGUCUGUUUUAUGAUCACUUUUAAUUAAUGUAGCUUUUGGUAUGAAUCAAGGUCGGUCUUUUAAAGGUGUUUUCCUCAGAAUUUGUCUUAAAACGGAGGAGUUGUCUUAUAAUCAGGGCUUACUUUUCUUCGAGUCAGUACAGUAGUAUUGGAAUUACAGUUAUCUGUUACUCUGUCACUUGUUCUUCACAACACUGCUGGUAAAUACUGGGGAAAAACUUGCAAUAAAUAACGUAUUGUUGUAAAUCUGAUGUAUGUUUGCAGGAUACCAGAUUAUCCAAUGUUGAUGCUUUUAAUUCAGUGCGCCACUAACCCUAUUAGACAGUUGGUGUAAAAUCAUCCCAGCAUGUAUCAGGUUUGCUGCUUUCUUAAAUAAGUGAGCAGUGUGAGAAAAUUUUGCAGGAUUGCAUCAAGUAGACGAGUAAUUAUGCGUCAGUGCAGGAGGCGGCCAUCAUUACACAGCUGGUCCAUUUAAAGUGCUGAUAGCAUGUUAGCACUGUGUUGCUUACUUCACAAUAAAAAGUCCAUCAAACAACAGGGGGUUAAAAAAAUGACAAGAGCACCUGCGUUAGAAUUUUUUAUUAAAUCAGCCUGAUUUAGGACGAGAUCAAUUUCCAUCACUUUUGAAUUAUAAAAGUGUAAAUAUGUCAUCAUGGAUCCACUAACCUUCAAUCACUGUGGUGAAAACCUUCAGAGAUGAUAAAAAAAAAUCAUCAUCAAAAAGCCGUUACAGGAGACGGACAAUUAAAACUUGCAAAUAAACCCAUAAAGAAAUAAAUUAAAAGCAAACCAAGAAUACUAAAUUCAAAUUUAUAACAUCACAUUCAGCAUAAAUUUGAAAGUAAAUAUUAUCCUAAUCAUGUGUACAAAGUUUGUAAUGAAUUGUGUGUUGCCUCCACGAGCGCACGACACACCCACCUACACACACACACACACACACACACACACACACACACACACACACACACACGGGCGCCACAGUGUAGUACACACAAACACACGACACACACACACACACGCACACGCACACACACACACACACACACACACACACACAGAAGCAGCAGAAUUGAAUGCGAUAGGGAAGUGAAAAAUGAUUAACCCGGGGUCAGCUCUCAGCCUCAAUCUCGGCAGCGCUCAAAGAACAUCCUCGCCUGAUUUACACUCGUCAUGUUCCACAGCACACAUUUGCAUAUAUUUAUUAAAUUCACCACGCGUUGGAGAAUAAAAUAUAACAGGGUGGAGGGGGAGAGAAGGGGAGGCGGGGGAGGGAGGGGGUUAUUUAAAGGAGGCGUGUUUCUGAUAGAUUUGCCUUUCAUUCAUAUUCAUUUUCUCUCUGGCUCUCUGUGUUUUGUUCAUUAGCAUGGAGGUCAGUGAAGGCAUCAGAUGGGACUGCUUAACGCUGUAGGGAAAACAUUGCUGUUGGUCAGCCUAUUGAAUUGACCUUGUUAUCAUUGUGACAGCCUGUGUUAUUUAUCAGUUAGUUAGAUAAGCCGGCGUGCAGGAUGGUGAUAGUCCAGCACAUGAAAAUAAGUCACAAUAGUGACAAACACGACGACUCGGGGGUGUUUUCACGCGUGCUCACUAAACUCUUAAAUCUCAAAAUUCACAAAAAAAGAGUGGAAAAGAAAAUAUGACCUGUUUGUAAGUUUUAAAAUAUUAUUUCAGUGCUAUUAUGCAUUUUUAAAUUUGGCACCGGGGUCAGUUGGUUAUAAAUCUACAAUUUAUACAAUCUAAAAUUGUGUAAAAACUAUUAGCUGCAUUCUUAAAGUAAAAAUGGUCCAGAUAUUUAUACCUUGUAUUAAUUCGUGUGAUCUGUUUUGUAUCCUGGCAAAAGUUUAAUCUGAAAUUUGCUGGUCCUGAGGCGCUACUAACCUCGCAGUCUAAGCGCCUCAUGCUCUCAAACUGCCUGGGUUUAAAGCCCAAAAGCCCCCCACAAAAAAGGUUUAUCUUUCUAAAACCACAAACCUUUAAACAUCAAAUGCUAACAUGCAUACAACGGAUGUAAUCUUGCCAACAUGCUGAAAUUUAAAUAGAAAAGGUGGCUAACAUUAAGGCUUGUGAAUAUCACCAUGUCAGCUAAACAAGAACGAGCCCGUAAAAAAAAAAUGCAUUGUCAUCAUUAGCAUAACAAAUGUGCUAACUUUAUAGCUUACCCAGCUAAUGUGAAACUGCUACUGCACAAAAGUUACUUUAGAUGUACUUAACAGAAUGAUAAAGGUGGUGAUGGGGGAGAUUUAACACAAAAAAAUUUUACUAAAGUAACUUAGUUCGCUAGUAUGCUGAUGUUCUAAACUAGCAUUGCAGCGCGCUAAUUUAUGCAGAAGGAGUUUCGCAAUUUCAGUUUCUUUCUGAGUUUGUUUGUGUGCUAAUAUACUAAGAAAAACUGUUAAACAAAAGGACAUUAUAAAGACAGGCAUGUAACAUUGGGGUGUUAGCAUACCAACAAUGAUGAUUAAAGAAUGUAACAUGGUCAAAAUUUCACUCAAUAAACCUGAACAUCACUGUGAGCACAGGCUUACUGUAUUUUUCGCACUAUAAGGCGCACUUAAAAUCCUUUUGGCUUGUCGGAACACUGCAGCUACCGUAGCCUCGCGGAGUUAUUGAAUGAAUAAAUAAAGUUUGAAUCUGACUGUAAAGUUUUUAUCUGACUGAUUUGUUUGGCUUAAUGUGCUUUAUAAUCUGGUGCACUUUAUAAUCCGACGCGCCUAUGUAUGAAAAUAAACGCGAGUAGACAUGUUUAUUGAUGGUGCGCCUUAUAAUCAGGUGCGCCUUAUGGUGCAAAAAAUAUGGUAUAUACACUCACCGGCCACUUUAUUAGGUACACCAUGCUAGUAACGGGUUGGACCCCCUUUUGCCUUCAGAACAGCCUCAAUUCUUCGUGGCAUAGAUUCAACAAGGUGCUGGAAGCAUUCCUCAGAGAGCUUGGUCCAUAUUGACAUGAUGGCAUCACACAGUUGCCGCAGAUUUGUCGGCUGCACAUCCAUGAUGCGAAUCUCCCGUUCCACCACAUCCCAGAGAUGCUCUAUUGGAUUGAGAUCUGGUGACUGUGGAGGCCAUUUGAGUACAGUGAACUCAUUGUCAUGUUCAAGAAACCAGUCUGAGAUGAUUCCAGCUUUAUGACAUGGCGCAUUAUCCUGCUGAAAGUAGCCAUCAGAAGUUGGGUACAUUGUGGUCAUAAAGGGAUGGACAUGGUCAGCAACAAUACUCAGGUAGGCUGUGGCGUUGCAACGAUGCUUAAUUGGUACCAAGGGGCCCAAAGAGUGCCAAGAAAAUAUUCCCCACACCAUGACACCACCACCACCAGCCUGAACCGUUGAUACAAGGCAGGAUGGAUCCAUGCUUUCAUGUUGUUGACGCCAAAUUCUGACCCUACCAUCCGAAUGUCGCAGCAGAAAUCGAGACUCAUCAGACCAGGCAACGUUUUUCCAAUCUUCUAUUGUCCAAUUUCGAUGAGCUUGUGCAAAUUGUAGCCUCAGUUUCCUGUUCUUAGCUGAAAGGAGUGGCACCCGGCGUGGUCUUCUGCUGCUGUAGCCCAUCUGCCUCAAAGUUCGACGUACUGUGCGUUCAGAGAUGCUCUUCUGCCUACCUUGGUUGUAACGGGUGGUUAUUUGAGUCACUGUUGCCUUUCUAUCAGCUCCAACCAGUCUGGCCAUUCUCCUCUGACCUCUGGCAUCAACAAGGCAUUUCCGCCCACAGAACUGCCGCUCACUGGAUAUUUUUUCUUUUUCGGACCAUUCUCUGUAAACCCUAGAGAUGGUUGUGCGUGAAAAUCCCAGUAGAUCAGCAGUUUCUGAAAUACUCAGACCAGCCCUUCUGGCACCAACAACCAUGCCACGUUCAAAGUCACUCAAAUCACCUUUCUUCCCCAUACUGAUGCUCGGUUUGAACUGCAGGAGAUUGUCUUGACCAUGUCUACAUGCCUAAAUGCACUAAGUUGCCGCCAUGUGAUUGGCUGAUUAGAAAUUAAGUGUUAACGAGCAGUUGGACAGGUGUACCUAAUAAAGUGGCCGGUGAGUGUAGUUGCUGCUCUGGUUGUGCUAACUGUGAUAUGUUGUAGUGGUGGGCAAAACCAUUCAUUUCAGUGAACCGGAUCAUUCCGGGUCAUUCAGUAAAAAGACCCGUUCAUUUUGGUCAUUUCGGUCAAUCGGUCGUUAGUCAGUCCGCUCGUUCAUGUUGUUCACGUUCGUGAAUGAACGUGAUGAGCGAACGGACUGACUGCACUUCAGACGCAACAGCGCAACAACAUGUGAUCUUGAAUUCUGAAGCAUUACACCCCUCCGGAUCCGAUGUUGAGAGCGUCUCAGCUCCCCGGUCCGACGUUACGACGCCCCCGCGGUCCGACGCUGUGACCGCUGCACUCCCCACUUCCCAUCCCCGGUCCAACGCUGCGAUCGCGCUGCACUUCUUGUUAUAUAAAAUGAUAGUAGGAAUAACAAAAUAUAUAAGGUUUUUAAUGUUUUUUAUUAUUUUGAGGUGCAUUAAAAACAAUAAUAAAAAGUACAAAAUGUCAACAGACAGUGCAAAUGCGUAUUAAUAGUUGUCUCUCUGCCUCUGGCUGCAGCAGCAGCUGUGUGCCUUUGUGUGUGUGAGACUGUCCCGCUCGCUCGGGCUCGGCUGUCGGCUCGUGCGGCGGCCAGUCAACUCGGUCUUUCAGUCAACUCGUUCAUCGGUCUGGAUCUUUCGUUCACUCGGUCUUUCAGUCAACUCGUUCAUCCGUCUGGGUCUUUCUUUCAUUUAACCCGUUCUUUUGUUCAACUCGGUCUUUCGUUCAUUUAACCCGUUCUUUCAGUCAACUCGGUCAUCCCGGUCUUUCAGUCAGCUCAGUAGUACUGCUGCUGCUUCUCUAAGCCCCACCCACACACAGAACGAGGCGCGACGAUAGGAUAAGACAGGCAAGCACGGAGAUAGUCCCUCUUCAGCCAAUCAAAAGAACUGAACGGACUGAACGGGUCAUUUAGGGGGGGAGAACUAGUUCAUUUCGUUCACCAAAAAGAACUAGUUCUUUUGAUCUGUUCGUUCAAGACCGACACACGGUUUUUUAUCAACCAAAAUGAUCAAUAUCACACCUUUAGAUCAGUUCGUAUUGAUUUUAUUGGUGUCUUUGUUGUGGUACGGCUGCACAGAGCACUCAACGCGGACUCUCUGUUUGUGUUUGGAUAAGCAGUUUGCUUGAAUUGUUAAAAUAAUGAUAAAAAAAAAAACAACAAUCAAUUAUCAGGCUGAUAAACAGGCUCAUUAAGUAAAAAUUAAGUCUGCCAGGCUUGUUGAAAACACUUUUACACAAGAUGAUUUUUCCCAAAGUAGAGAGAGGUUUACUCUCCACCCACUGCCUCUACAAACACAGUAAUUAAUUCAGCUUUUCCCUUUUUGUUACAGUUUGAAGAUUCUCACUGUUCAGAUUUCAUUUUGAUUAAUCUCACCCAAAAAACUAAAAACCACCCCCCCUUUAUGCUCCCUAUACCAUCCACCCCCCUCCUCCUCCUCCUCCUCCUCUUCCCUCUUUCUCCUCAUACCUACUGAUGUGAGCAGCCGUGGCAGGCCGGAUCAAUAGGGCUGAAACCUGUCCAGAGCUUUAAUCCAUCAGUGGUGAGCUGGGAGGAGAGACAGGGCAAGGAAGCCAUCACUCACACCCAGAUCUCACCCCUCUCUUCCUCCGCCUGCUAAAUGGACAUCUGGAGAAUAUUGUCAAGGAGCUUUUUUUUUACAGUCAAAUGUGGCUUUGUGCUCAUUUACCUUACUCUGAAAGGAGCUUAAUGUUGCAUUUGGAUGAACGUAAAUUCACCCACACAGCAACACCUACUGUAAUCUGACAUAAAAGCUUUGACUCACUGAAGUUGAAAAUUUGACUUUACUUAAGAAAUAACCACAUUUCUGAGGUAGAGUUCACUCUCUUUAUGUCUCUCCUACACAAAAAUAUUUCUUCAUAUUUUCCACUAACGCUCAUUAUUUUCCUCACGACCCGUAUAUUUCCCAUUCUUUGUUCUUAGAAACCAUUUAAACAUUGAUUGUUAGGAUAAGUGUAGACCUGUAUGCAAAAGUUUCUCUAUAUGAAACAAUAGCUGUUUAUGAGAACCUCAUUAAUGCUGACUAUGCAGUUUGCUUUUCAAAGUCUCUGUUAAUGUAAAGCAAUCAUAGUUUCUAAACUAAAGGUUAUAUGUGUGUGAAUAAGAGCGUACAAUAAUAAUAAUAAUAAACUUUUACAUUUUCUUUAUACCUGUAUGCAGGAGCCUGUUGUGUAUCUUUUUAUGUAUAUACUUAUGUAAAAGCCUCUCUGCAGCCUCAUUUGUCAACAGAGCUGUCAAUCAUGAUGUCACAUCCCCUUCUGGUUUAAAAUCAAAUAUCUUAUCCAAGCUGAACAUCUCAGAAAUAUGACCUCUUGGGCAGAAUUCAGCACGAUAAAGGCAUUUUUUUAAAUAUGUAUUUGAAUUUCCCUUUAAUAUAUUACAGAGGCGAAAUUUAAGACAUGUACUCGAACAGGUCAGUAGAGAGAGCUCUAAAUCAUUUGACUUCACAGUCAUGGAUAAGAUGAGAUAAAAUAUGCCUUUAAAAGUCCCACAGGGGGAAAUUCCAAUUAACAGCAGAAUUAAUACAGACACAAAAAGAGAGAUUAAAGGAUAAAGAAACUUAAAGUUAAAAAAAGAUAUGUACAUGAGCCUUAUUAUAUACAUGUGUACAUAAUAUAAAUAUAUACAAAUAUGAUUUAUUGCACAAUGAGGUUUCUGUUGUGGACACUCAAUGUUUAGAUUUACUUGCUGUGAACUAUGUGUACGUGAAUGCAUGAUUGUCACCUGAGUGUUAGUUUCGUGCAUUAGUGUGCAUGUGCUCAAAAAUUAAUGUGAUUCUCAAACUCUAUGUACACAGGGUCCGAGGAGAUUUAAAAGACAACACAGCAGCAGGGAAACAAUGGAAGAGAGAGUUUGAAAGACUGACUGAUAGACCGAGCCUGCUGGACUAAUCCACACCUGAAUGAGGAGUCUCGACCACACCAUGAGUCUGGAUGUAUCCUCUGUGGACGUGCUGAAUACAGUCAGGUACGUAUAUAAACACUCAUGAUGCAGCCAAAGCAAAAACACACAGCAGGUACACUGAAUAUCCACCUUCAUGGUCAAAUAACAGCCUAAAAGCACUCACAUACAGUACAUUGAUGUAUAUGUAUAUUUGGUAACACUUUAUUUGACGCCUAUCUCUAGAACGCAUUAUGAAUAUGUUUAUAAUGUGUUCUAGCACUGUACAACUAUAGUUAUAAACAAUCAUAAAUGAUCAUAAUGCUUUAUAGAAAUAAUCACAACACAUUAUAAAGCAUUUUAUCAUGACUUACAUUGUCAGGUAUUAUAAUGUGUUAUAGCUGUUAACAACAGUUGAAUUUCAUUAUCUAUGCAGGCAUUUUGUGAGUUGUUAACAGUUAUAAUGCAUUAUAAUACCUGACCUUGUAAGUCAUAAUAAAAUGCUUUAUAAUGUGUUAUGAUUAUUUCUAUAAAGCAUUAUGAUCAUUUAUGAUUGUUUAUAACUAUAGUAACAUAGUGCUAUAAUGUGUUUAUAACGCAUUACACAUAUAUUUAUAAUGCAUUAUAGAGAUAGGCGUCAAAUAAAGUGUUACUGUAUAUUUUUUAAAGCUCUUAUUUUUUGCAUAUACUAUAUUAAGGUGAGACAUUUUCUGUGCCUGCGUUGUUUUGGUGCAAGAUUUAUCUGUUUCAUUCAGUGAAAAUGUUAUACACCCAUAUGUUCCCUUUUGUCGCAGCAUUAAAAUACAAAGUGUUAAGAUAAGAUAAGAUGUUCCUUUAACAGUCCCACGGGGGGAAAUUCCGAAUUUACAGCAGCAUAUUACAGAUACAGAAAGAGAAAAAUUAAAAGAUGAAGAAACUUUGAGUUAAAAAAAGAUAUGUACAUGAGUCAUAUUUACAUAUGCACAGAAUUUACGUAAUAACAUGAUUUAUUGCAAAAGCAAAAAUACAAAAGUUUGUACAAUUAAGUGCACUAAUGUAUCUAGUUAUAGUACAAAUUACUUCUACAUUUAAGUUCUUAUACAAAAAGAAGAGUAAAAAGGAAAAUAUAUACAGUACCUGUGUCAAUAUUUUCUUCAAAUUUGGGGAUUUAAAGCUCCUGUGAGGAACUUCAGCGCCCCUGGUGGACAAAGUGCUCUUUACUGUUCUUGCCCUCUUUUUGCUCAAAUAGUGAUUUUUGACUAAAGGAGACAAAUGUGUCAUUUAUUGUCAAUAUUUUAUGUGUAAAUUGUGUGUAGGUGUUUUCUAUACCUACCCCCUCACACCAGAUUAAGGCUUUAAAAAUUAGGAUCUAAACAUCUUUAGCCUUGUUGCUGAUGUUCCUGUUUGCUGUUGGAUAUCAUAAAAAGGCACAAAACUAUUGUACGAGCAGUCUCAGGUAAACCUGCACUCUUUAACACAGACACUAAAAGCUGCUGGUCUGAUGGAGGUCAGGUUAUCUGAGUUUAUGCAUUCAUGUUUAAAACCCUGCAGCCUUCAGAGGAUAAAAACUCCCCUUAAAUAAUCUUUCUGGAUCACACCUUCUGACAUAAUCGCUGGUUUUAUAUCCCCAUUAUUAACAGAACAAACACACCGAACAGAAACAAAACACAAAUAAAUAAAAAACAGAAAAGCAAAACAUUGGACAAACUCCAUGGCUCAGGUGGCGAGCAGCCAGGCGUCCUGCCUCCCUCAAGGCCCGUCUGAUACGUAACAUCACAAUUGGCAAGAGGGAUGUGAAUCUCUGCGUUUCUCUUCCCCUCCUGUCUGUGCCUCACACACACACACACACACACAAACACAAACACACACUCACAUGAUGGGGUAGCAAUGGCAGAGGACCAGCAGUCUGUGCCAGUGGGCGUAGUGGGACUGCCGGGCAUGCUGGGACCAGCCUCGGGAGUUAAGACUCGCUGAACUACAGCUGCAACCAACCUGGACGCCGCCAGAGAGAGAGGGACACAUGCUCUGACACACUGCUACAGAUACAAAGACUGUCCAACACACACACACACACACACACACACACACACACACACACACACACACAAAGGCGUCUGUCUCGUCCCGUGAUAUGUGUCUCAGCUGUGCCAGCAUCCCUGUCCCCCCCUCAGGCCUGGACCUCCCGCGUAUGCCACCCCUCUCCACCCUCUCCUCCAUUCCUCCUCCUCCUCUGCUCCUCCCUGCCGGUAGCCUUUGUGGGCUAAUUAGCGGUGAAAUUGGUGAAUUGCAGGCUCGGGCACACACACACACACACACACACACACACACACACACACACACACACACACACACACACACACACACACACACACACACUCGUACAGUGGUUGAAUUGCAGGCUCAGGCACAGCAGUGCAGACACUUCAGCAUAGCCAAGCGCCACUUCAGCCCCUGAAAAGCCUCUGAAAUGGGGCACACAACACAAAGACAAGAGCGGAGAGGAGAAGAAAGGACAGAGGGGAGGAGAAAGAGCGAAAGACUGUUAGUUAGAGCAGAUGAAGGAAUAUAUCUGUGUCUAUUUACGAUUUCAGUCUGUUCUCACGAAUAAGUCGAUGAAAACAGCAACUCGUCAGGAGCAACAACAUAUGGAGGUGCAGCUCUGUCUUCUCUUGUCUUAAUGUGGAUUUGAAUUAAAGUGAUAUUGUUAUAAAAGUAGAAAAAACUGACAGGGUUUGGGUAAUGGAAGCUGGAGACUGGGGGUCAAUUCAUAUGUGAGACCAACAGGGAAUUUUUUCCUCAUUGAGAAACCUCGCCUGUAAAUGACCCAAAUAAUGAUCAAUUUUUAUUUGAAACAAUCUUUUCAAACUUAGAGAUAUUCUGGCGUAAAAUUGAUUAAGGGUCAAAAACACCGUAACACCAAGUUAAACACCCCCUCGAGAGAUGAAUGUUGUCAACCGCUUGCUUCUCUAGUUAUACCAACUUUAGUGACACCGCACGAUAGCAAUACACAGCGGUCUAAGGAGCCAUCAACAAACCUCAACCAAAAUGCCACUCUAUAGCCACAAAUAAUACUCAGAACAGCACCUAACUUCAUCAACAGUACAUAUAGGGUCCCAGCCAUAGCACUAGCCACCAAACAUCUUUUUAACUUUGCCUGAUUUCUUUAUCAAAGAGACCAAACAUAACUCCCCUACUCUCUUCGGCUUGUUUGUAGCAAGACCUCAUGCCAGUCCAUUACUGACUACAGUGGGGUGACGCAGCUCAAGGAAGAACAUUUAUGAACAUUUUUUCAUGAAAAUGCAAUCAGACCGAGACGGUAAGGCAGAAGAAGUACCACGUCUGCAGUGCAAAAUAAUUAAUAUGGUGAUUAUUACUUCAGAAAAAUGAUAAAGAAAUGAUCAUAAAUGUUCUUCCUUGAGCUGCGUAACCCCGCUGUAGUCUGUGAUGGACUGGCCUGAGGUCUCGCUACAAACAAACGGCUGCUGGAGGAGAAUGGGCGAGUUGUGUUUAGUCUCUUUGCUAAAGAAAUUAGGCAAAGUUAAAAAGAUGUUUGGUGGUUAGUACUAUGGCUGGGACCCUGUACGUACUGUUGAUGAAGUUAGGUGCUGUUCUGAGCAUUAUUUGUGGCUGUAGAGUAGCAUUUUGGUUGAGCACAUGGCUCUCUGUAUUGCUAUCUGCGGUCGUGACUAAAGUUGGUAUAACUAGAGAAGCAAACAAUCGGCAACAUUCAUCUCUCGAGAGGGUGUCUAACUCAGUGUUAUGGUGUGUUUGACCCAAAAAUAAUUUUACGCUAGAAUAUCCCUUUAAGAGUUUAUUGCUGGAUGCUUUUAUUUUGAAAUGUAUGCCCGUAAUUAUGUAAUGUAAUGUAAAUAAAUAAUCGUUAAUGAGUUAAAGCUCCCAUAAGGAAUUUUUUGACGUCAAAGAAAUUACCUGAAAUUUACAUUGAUACCUUAUGAUGUACAAAAGCAAACAGGACCAACAACAACAUGAUCAUUUUAACAUCAGCAUUAUUUUGAAUGGGUGUGUAUGUGGUUUCUGGUGCUUUCAUUGUCAGCCUCAAGUGGACACUUCAGGAACUGCACUUCUACUGUGGGUUAAUUGAAUCAGCUUUUCCACUGUCAUUGUGUGCACCAUAUGUAAAUCUAAAUGUAAAUGUUCUUUAUUUAUACAUCCCUUUAUAACAACCCUUUCAGUGAACCAAAGUGCUUUACAAUACAUAGUUAAUAAAAAUGAAUAAAUAGAAACAAUAAAAAAAAGAAUCAGAUACAGUGCAAUAAAAUAAAUUCUCACCAUGCUACUGGGUAUUAAAAGCCAGCAUAAAUAAAUACAUUUUCAAUUGAGAUUUGAAAAGGCCCAGGUCAGAAAUAAGUCUCAAAUCUUUAGUUAAAUGAUCCGUAAAUGAUCCCACUAAUGUCGGCAGGUGUUUGUGGACUGUAGAGGUCUUGGUGAGACACCUUUCAGUUAAAAACCGUAUUAAACCACAAAUAUGUGUUUGCUAAUCUGAUCACUUUAUUCCCUCUCAUUGUGUGAUUAUUCAUGAAACUGAUAUUUUGCUGACCGGUUGGAGGGAAAAGCAGAGAGGCAAACAAAUUGAGGUUCAUGAUGAGUUAAAGUUGUUAGGUUUAAAUAAUUCAAUAAGCUGACUGUGCAGGAUAAAAAAACAAGAAACCAUUUUGUGUUAAUUUGUUUGUCUUCUUCUCUGAUUUUGAUUCUCCACCUGCGGGGGAAAAUCUCACAAAUGCAGCGAUGUUUCUCUCCUCCUCUCAUCCUCACACUUUUCUUAUUUUAUGCUCAGCUGGGAAGCCAUGUUUUCUCUGUGACAGUCGAUCACAGCUCAAGAGGGAUGAGUCUGCUCUCCUUCGGAUUUUCUGUGUUUCUCUGAUUAUUUUGUGUUUUUAAAAAAUGCUACAGCCGCUCUCAAAUCUUUAAUUCUUUUCAUUCUGGUCCCUUUUUCCUUCCAGACUCCUUUUCCAGCCUCCCUUAUUUCCUCAUCAGAUCCCCUCCCUCUAUAAUUACCACUUAUUAAUCUUAAAUGAGAGCCCUAACACGUUGCAUGGUUUUAAUACAGCCUGUUAAUAUGGGAGGUAAUUUAUGGGGUGUGUGUGGGAUGGAGGGAUGAUGGAAUGAGCGUCGUCCAUCACAGAAAUCAUUACAGACUGAAGCCUCUCUUUCACCCUCAUUGUGUUCAAGAAAGAGACACUCAGUGACUCCAGGUGAGAGUCAGCUUACCUCAAAUUAUGCCAAAGCUACUGGAAAAAAGAAAGAUGACUUCCCUUUUACUUUUAAGAACAAAUACCGCUCUUUUUCUCCUUACCUUCAAAACAAAAGACUUCUUCAGAAUCAGACAAGUACCUGUUCAGUUCAGAAAGUUUCCAGUCAUGAACCUGUUUUCAGUUUACUUUCACAGCUCACUUUUGUGUUAGUUUGCAUGUUGCUGAAGGUUGUGUUUUCCUGUGAACACAAAAACCUGGAUUUAAAAGUACAGAUGCAGCUCAAAAAAUUGAAGAUUGUGAAAAAACUCAAAUCAAAUAAUUCAUCAAAAAUUGAAUUUGAUUGCUUUCAAAUUAUUUAAAAACCUGUACUUGAUUUAAAAACGAGAAAAGAUGACUUAUCAUUUUCUAAUUUCUUACUGCAAACACCUUUCCAAAAAGUUGGGACAGAGUUGUGUUAACCUUUGUGUUGCAUCACCUCUUCCUAUAAAAACAUAUCAUAAACAUUUGAAACCACGGAGACCAGAUUUUAAAGUCAUGAGUGUUUAAUGUUGUGGUUUCUGGUGUCCAUGAUUUCCAAAAAAUAUGUCAAAUUUUCCACUUUACUUCAGUUCAUCAUAAUUGAGCAAAAACCUUCACUUGGAUUUCUGGUUUAUGUUUUCAUUUAGUUUUAACCUGCAUCGAUGGACGCAGCAACGAAUUGUGUGAGCAGACAGUAGGUUUUGGAAGUGAUGCGGUGGUUUCCACUACAGAGUUAUGUCUGUUUUUGAUGAAGCAGUGCUGUUUGAAGGCACGAGUGAAUACUGUAGACAAUGAAAUUUGACUAAAACCAUAUUUAGUCUCUCACAGAGUGGUGAACCUCUUUCCGUCUUAGACCCUAGUCUAUCUGGAGUGCCCCUUUUAUACCAAGUUAUGAUACUAACCUGAUUCAGAUCCACUUCAUUACUGUAUUUUUCGGGUGAUAAAGCGCACCGGAUUGUUUGCAGCACUGUGAAUCAACGUGUCUAUGUUCACACAUAAGGCGCACCGAAUUGUAAGGCGCAUUAAGCAUUGUUUGGAUUAUUGUUGCCUGCACGUACUCCGGGCUGCCUUACUUGAGUGCACCUCUAGUUUAGACAUUACAGUCAGGCAGUCUUGUAGACUGCUCAGGGGUCUAGUUACAGGGCUGAUCAGGUAGUGACAAAGCAUACCGUAAUGCUCCAAAUAUCCAUUGAGCGUAGCGGCUUUGUUGCUUACCAAAGUCAUACUUAUGCAUUUCGACGGAUUUUUGAGUGCAUUGUAAUAUGGAAUCAGAUUGUACCACAUUAAAUCGGUCAGUAAGCACAACAAAUAAUCAUACGUAAGGCGCGCUGGAUUAUAAGGCGCACUGUAGAUUUUUGAGAAAAUUUAAGAAUUUUAAGUGCGCCUUAUAGUCUGAAAAAUAUGGUAGUUUGGAGAUGCUCCUCCAGGCGUUUAUUUUUUAGAAUAUCACAACUUUUUCAGUGUUUUGUUGUCCUCGUCCCUACCUGGGUAUUAGCACCUGCUCACAGUGCCAGAACUACAAACAAAUGAUUUGCUGGUCAUGCCACGUCACAUUACUGACAGUAAAUAUAGAAACUCACUUGGUAGAAGUUGGGAAUUUUUGUAUUAUCAAUAUUUUUAUUGGCCAUAGGAAAUAAUCUGAUAAUUUGCAAUACUGGAUUUCUCAUUUUUCAUGAGCGGCUUGAAAUCUUUGCACAGAUAAUCUUGCCCCAUAAUUGAUUGUUUUCCGUGGUUCACAGAGAGUCUUUUCAGAUCCCUGGUCUUCAGAUGGUUUAUCUGUCAGCACUGUAUCCCAUUGUGCUUGAAUAAAAGAAGCAGAGCACUGUUGUGGGCUGAACUGUCCUCCUCAUCCUUCUUUGGCCCAGCCGUCCCCCAGGGACACAUUAGUCUCUUAAUGCUUUGUCAUCAGCACAGGUUAAUGGACCUCACAGCAGUCUGUUAAAAAACACUCCUGAUCAAUACACAGUGUGUGCAGAAACGGAUAUCCUCCAAAAAUAGACCUACUGGACUUUUAAAUGGUGACGAGUCGUCAAUUUUUAGUGACAGUGGGGUAGAAAUAAUUACAGGAGCUGAUGGCUGAGAGCGCUGACAGACACUGGAUCUGUAAAUGAGUCUGACAGCAGUUUGUGAAAAAGAAAAGAAAAUACUACAAACUGGCUUGUGUUCAUGGGCACAAAUUUCCCUGUACUAACAAACAAGUGAGUCAGCAUGAGUCUAAAUUUGAGCUGCAACACUUGAGUGUCUGAAGAGGCCUGAAAAUGAGAUUCAAGUUAGACAGGGUUUUCACUGAAGAAGAUACUGAUUAUUUAUAAAACUUUCCUUUUAAGGACCCCACAGACUGUAUAUAAAAGAGGGUUUAGCCACAGAGGUGUCACCUAGCAACUACUUUGCACUGGAAAUUUGAGCUAGAAAGCUGCAGUUCCUAAGGCGGCCACUAGAGGCUGGUUCCAAAGGUGAUUCUGACCCCAUAGAGCACCAUAAUAAAACUCCAAACUUUAAAGCAUGAUUAAUCUUGUUCACAGCCUGGUAUAAAAACAGUUUUAGUUUAUCAGUUUAUUUCUCCAUUAAUGACACCUAAACACUGAGAAAAUAUUUCAGUAACUUAUCAAUUUAGACUUUAUUCUUGAAGGUCUUUUAAAUUAAGUAAUUUAAUGUAAAUCCAAUGAUAAAAUUGUAUAUGAAGGUUAAAAUAGUAAAAGAGCACCUUAUGCCAUUUUAUCCGUAGAUAAGGUGUCUGCAAAGGAACUUGAUCAUGUUUUAUCCUCUAGAGGGACGAAUUUCUAAACCAUUUUUACCAGACAUGAGGACACCAGAGUGGGUGUUCACCCCUCUUAAGUAAACCACCGCUGCCAGCCCUUUGCUUGGUCAUCCGUUGGUCUCUCAGCUGUGUUUGUUAUUGUUUCUUUGUGGGAUUUAUUUGCCAAAUUCUACGGCGGUAAUUGGUCUGUGUUUGAGUUCUCUCUGAGGUGUUAUUUUGGUGUUAUUUUGGCAAAAAGCAGUAAGUACUGGUGUGUAGAUAGAGACCUAGUUUGGGCUACUGCAAAUUCUAUAGUAUGGCUUAGGGAUGGGAAUCACUAGGGCCCCAUGACCCGAUAUUAUAACAAUACUUGGCCCACAAUACCAUAUCAUUGCAAUUUUUAACAUUUUGCAAUACAGUGAGUAUUGCAAUACAAUGUAUUGCAAUUUAUACAAUUUUUCAACUGUUUAGCUAAUUUAGCAUUUGUCUUUUUACUUUGUUUGUCUUAUUUACGCCAUAUUUUAUUUUCAUGUAGCACAUCUUGCAAAUCUUAUACAUAUUUGUUGCACUAACUUUCUCCUGCUCUAUGAUUUCAACUCUGCAAACCUCACUGAACAAACAGCUGAUUUAAUUUUUUCAUUAUCAUAGAUUUUACUUCAUAUUAGCAAUUUAUUUGAAAAAAUCAAUACUUGGUCAAUGAGACGAUACGAUAUAUCACCAGAAAAAAUAUCUAUGCUGUAUUGAUUUUUUUCUCCCACCCCUAGUAUGGUUGCAAAAGCAUUUUUACACUGGUCCCUUUAGAAGCUUGCCCCAAGUGGCCAUCAGAGGAACUGCACCCUCAGCCAUAACCUCAGAGGUCUCAGGGAUGAAAGGCGGAGGUCUCUUUCAAACAUGGAAAAACUUUCACAAAACUGUCUACCUCAGAAUAGUCAAACCGAUGAGUUUUUGUCUAUUUUUAUAGCUGUAUCUUCUGAAUGCCAGCACCAUCACUUGUAAAGUGUUGUGACGAGAAAAAUUCUUGAUUUGCUCUGACUUGAGAUAAUUUGAGCUUAUAUUCAAGUGCGACCACGUCGCACACCUGUGAACAAGAGCUGAACACCUUCAUUCCCGACAUUAACUCCUCAUGUGGCGAGGUUUAUUACAGAGCGCUCACCUCAGCUUGGUUUAAAGACAGAAAGAUUUAAUGUCGCUGCUUGUGAAGGUUGGCUGCAGGGAAAAGUAGAGCUAUAAAUAAAAAGCAGUGGGAAAUGAGGAUGACUGAAAUAUGGGAGCAAAUAAGGAGAGAGAAAUCAUAAAUGACAAAAGGGGAAGAAAUGGAGUUUGUUAGGAGAUGUUUUCAUGUAAUUUUUCAAGGCCUUUUAUUUAUUUUUUAUCACUAUAGGAAAAUAUAAAGUGAAGCAUUGUAGGAAAACUGUGUUAAGAUAUGGAAAACAAAGAAUAUGAUACAUCUAAAGUAUACAAAACCUGAAGUCUGAAUGUAUCUUUUGGCUAAGUGCUACUCCUUACCCCAACAUGUUUUACAACUUACCCCACUUGCAGGUUUUUGACAUCAUCUCACAAGGUUUUUGAUGACCUUGCAGAAGAUUGAAUUAGUCUCUUUCGUAGUGCACAAAUGUGGGAACUUCAUUUAACAAUAAGAAAAACUCUAGUUCAAAAAUUCAGUCAGUUAUAGGAACAGAAGCAGAAAGUGUUGCAGCCAUCCCUGGUCUUCCCUACAUCACAUCGCAUAUCUCUUUUAGAAUUUGAACACAUGAAACGAAACAAAGAAGAAAUGCAAAAAAAAAUCAUCGGUAUAUGAUCUCAGCAUUGGCUAAUUUCAUGACCUAAGCUUCAGUUUUGGUAUCAGUAUUUCAUAAUCACUCUAUCUCUGAUUAAUAAAGGCUGGACGACCAAAAUAAGGAUGCAAAUAUGUAAAAGAAAAAGAAGAGACAGACAUACUUGAUAUUAGACUUGCAAAGACUGCAGAAAGGAGCCUUUUUAAUUUUUGCAAAUAAGCUCUUUUGUGCCUCAUGAAUUUCCUCGGCAUCACUUUGUUUAGUUCAACUCUAACAAGAUAUAUUAAAGCUCCUGUGAGGAACUUUGGCUCGGGACAUUUUUGGCGCUCCCUGUGGACAAAGCAGUCUUUGCACCCCUCCUGCACCAAUUUUAAUCAUUAAAAUAUUGUCACUGAAGGUCUUGUUUGUUUUUGUACAUCUCAAAAAUGCAUCAGUAUGAAUUUAUAGAUAGACGUAAACAAUUUCCUAACAGGAGCUUUAAGUUAAAGAAGCAUCUUGUUGCUUGUUGCAUAGGAUUCGAUGCAUUUAUGAUGAUAGAGAUGUCUUGGUGCAUGUUUUGUAGGAAAAUUGCAGACUCUUUUGCGUGUUUUUGACCCCUAUAUUGUGAGAAAAAAAAUCUAAUAACAUCCUUAAAUUUAUGCGAUUCUUGGGACCUGAAAGUGUAGUAAAACUUGAUUUAUGGUUCUUUAUUGAAAGUUGAAAUCUAGAAUAAAAGACAGUGGAAAUUUAAGUCUGUGCAAAAGAGUUUUUUGGCCUCUGCAAAUAUGCGCCUGUUUUAAAAGCAUAGUUUCAUGUUGUUAUUUAGAGUAUCUCUGGUUUUUUUUUUUCUCCAGAAUGAGACACAAAGUGGAGCACGGAGG